rnacentral:rRNA from 1 species
CACGUAGGGCGCAAGCGUUGUCCGGAAUUAUUGGGCGUAAAGAGCUCGUAGGUGGUUUUGCUGCGUCCGCUGUGAAAAACCCAAGGCUUAACCUUGGGCUUGCAGUGGAUACGGGUAGACUAGAGGUAGGGAGGGGAGAAUGGAAUUCCCGGUGUAGCGGUGAAAAUGCGCAGAUAUCGGGAGGAACACCGGUGGCGAAGGCGGGUCUCUGGGCCGAUACUGACGCUGAGGAGCGAAAGCGUGGGGAGCGAACAGG